GAUGAACGCUGGCGGCGUGCCUAAUACAUGCAAGUCGAGCGAACGGACGAGAAGCUUGCUUCUCUGAUGUUAGCGGCGGACGGGUGAGUAACACGUGGAUAACCUACCUAUAAGACUGGGAUAACUUCGGGAAACCGUAGCUAAUACCGGAUAAUAUUUUGAACCGCAUGGUUCAAUAGUGAAAGACGGUUUUGCUGUCACUUAUAGAUGGAUCCGCGCUGCAUUAGCUAGUUGGUAAGGUAACGGCUUACCAAGGCAACGAUGCGUAGCCGACCUGAGAGGGGGAGCGGCAAAACGGGAAUUGAGAAAGGGCCCAGAUCCUUACGGGAGGCAGCAGUGGGGAACCUUCCGAAAGGGGGGAAAGCUGGACGGGGAAAGGCGGCGGGAGGGAGGAAGGUCUCGGGACGGUAAAACUCUGUUAUAAGGGAAGAACAUAGGGGUAAGAAACAGGGAAGAUCUGGAGGGUACCUAAGAAGAAAGCAAGGCUAAAUUAGGG
rnacentral:rRNA from 1 species